rnacentral:rRNA from 1 species
AUUGAACGCUGGCGGCAGGCCUAACACAUGCAAGUCGAGCGGAUGAAGGGAGCUUGCUCCUGGAUUCAGCGGCGGACGGGUGAGUAAUGCCUAGGAAUCUGCCUGGUAGUGGGGGAUAACGUCCGGAAACGGGCGCUAAUACCGCAUACGUCCUGAGGGAGAAAGUGGGGAUCUUCGGACCUCACGCUAUCAGAUGAGCCUAGGUCGGAUUAGCUAGUUGGUGGGGUAAAGGCCUACCAAGGCGACGAUCCGUAACUGGUCUGAGAGGAUGAUCAGUCACACUGGAACUGAGACACGGUCCAGACUCCUACGGGAGGCAGCAGUGGGGAAUAUUGGACAAUGGGCGAAAGCCUGAUCCAGCCAUGCCGCGUGUGUGAAGAAGGUCUUCGGAUUGUAAAGCACUUUAAGUUGGGAGGAAGGGCAGUAAGUUAAUACCUUGCUGUUUUGACGGUACCAACAGAAUAAGCACCGGCUAACUUCGUG